GCCUCCCUCACCCAUAGAUAUACCCACCAUUGUGAUUUUCGGGAGGAGGGGAUUUCCUCGUGGCUGCUCCAUGUCUGUUCCCGACAUCCUCAUGUCUGGUCCGAUAUUAUCGGGUAUUUGCUGUUUCUGAUGCAGCCUGGACCAUGGAUUUCUAAACCAAUCGCUGAAAGGGAACUGGAAAUCGUUGUGAUAGGUAGACUGGCCCCGGCCUGCUUGAAUACAGUCAUCCGAGGCACCAAGUUGCUGUGGUUCAGAGACAUCCACUGAACUGAUCGACGGCCCAUCUUUGGUGAAUGCAGAUGCGCUCCUUUCUUCAA
rnacentral:misc_RNA from 1 species